rnacentral:rRNA from 1 species
CUACGGGGGGCUGCAGCAAGGAAUAUUGCGCAAUGGGCGAAAGCCUGACGCAGCGACGCCGCGUGGGGGAAGAAGGCUUUCGGGUUGUAAACCCCUUUUAUUGGUGAAGAGUAAGGACGGUAACCAAUGAAUAAGUCUCGGCUAACUACGUGCCAGCAGCCGCGGUAAUACGUAGGAGGCAAGCGUUAUCCGGAAUCACUGGGCGUAAAGGGCGUGUAGGCGGCCUGUUAAGUUGGUUGUGAAAUCUCCCGGCUCAACCGGGGGGCGUCGACCAAUACUGGCAGGCUAGAGGGCAGCAGAGGAAAGUGGAAUUCCCGGUGUAGCGGUGGAAUGCGUAGAUAUCGGGAGGAACACCAGUGGCGAAGGCGGCUUUCUGGGCUGCCCCUGACGCUGAGGCGCGAAGGCGUGGGGAGCAAAGUGGAUUAGAUACCCCCGUAGUC